rnacentral:tRNA from 1 species
GCGCCCGUAGCUCAACGGAUAGAGUACGAGCUUGCGGAGCUUGUGAUCGAGGUUCGAUUCCUCGCGGGCGCA